rnacentral:rRNA from 1 species
CCUACGGGAGGCAGCAGUGGGGAAUAUUGGACAAUGGGGGCAACCCUGAUCCAGCGACGCCGCGUGUGUGAAGAAGGCCUGCGGGUUGUAAAGCACUUUUAGUGGGGAGGAAAACCCCUGACCUAACACGUCAGGAAUUGACUUAACCCAAAGAAAAAGCACCGGCUAACUCUGUGCCAGCAGCCGCGGUAAUACAGAGGGUGCAAGCGUUAAUCGGAAUUACUGGGCGUAAAGCGUGCGUAGACGGUUAUUUAAGUCGGAUGUGAAAUCCCCGGGCUCAACCUGGGAAUUGCAUUCGAGACUGAAUAGCUAGGGUGCGGAAGAGGGAAGCGGAAUUUCCGGUGUAGCGGUGAGAUGCGUAGAUAUCGGAAGGAACAUCAGUGGCGAAAGCGGCUUCCUGGUCCAGCACCGACGUUCAGGCACGAAAGCGUGGGGAGCAAACAGGAUUAGAUACCCUGGUAGUCCACGCCAUAAACGAUGAGGACUAGAUGUUGGAAGGGUUUGCCUUUCAGUGUCGCAGCUAACGCGAUAAGUCCUCCGCCUGGGGAGUACGGCCGCAAGGUUGAAACUCAAAUGAAUUGACGG